rnacentral:rRNA from 1 species
AUUGAACGCUGGCGGCAGGCCUAACACAUGCAAGUCGAGCGGAUGAAGGGAGCUUGCUCCUGGAUUCAGCGGCGGACGGGUGAGUAAUGCCUAGGAAUCUGCCUGGUAGUGGGGGAUAACGUCCGGAAACGGGCGCUAAUACCGCAUACGUCCUGAGGGAGAAAGUGGGGGAUCUUCGGACCUCACGCUAUCAGAUGAGCCUAGGUCGGAUUAGCUAGCUGGUGGGGUAAAGGCCUACCAAGGCGACGAUCCGUAACUGGUCUGAGAGGAUGAUCAGUCACACUGGAGCUGAGACACGGUCCAGACUCCUACGGGAGGCAGCAGUGGGGAAUAUUGGACAAUGGGCGAAAGCCUGAUCCAGCCAUGCCGCGUGUGUGAAGAAGGUCUUCGGAUUGUAAAGCACUUUAAGUUGGGAGGAAGGGCAGUAAGUUAAUACCUUGCUGUUUUGACGUUACCAACAGAAUAAGCACCGGCUAACUUCGUG